GCAGAGCAACUCCUACGGGAGGCAGCAGUGGGGAAUAUUGCACAAUGGGCGCAAGCCUGAUGCAGCCAUGCCGCGUGUAUGAAGAAGGCCUUCGGGUUGUAAAGUACUUUCAGCAGUGAGGAAGGUGGGUAUGUUAAUAGCAUACUCAUUUGACGUUAGCUGCAGAAGAAGCACCGGCUAACUCCGUGCCAGCAGCCGCGGUAAUACGGAGGGUGCGAGCGUUAAUCGGAAUUACUGGGCGUAAAGCGCAUGCAGGUGGUUUGUUAAGUCAGAUGUGAAAGCCCGGGGCUCAACCUCGGAAUUGCAUUUGAAACUGGCAAACUAGAGUACUGUAGAGGGGGUAGAAUUUCAGGUGUAGCGGUGAAAUGCGUAGAGAUCUGAAGGAAUACCGGUGGCGAAGGCGGCCCCCUGGACAGAUACUGACACUCAGAUGCGAAAGCGUGGGGAGCAAACAGGAUUAGAUACCCUGGUAG
rnacentral:rRNA from 1 species